CGACUCCAUGAAGUCGGAAUCGCUAGUAAUCGUGAAUCAGAAUGUCACGGUGAAUACGUUCCCGGGCCUUGUACACACCGCCCGUCACACCAUGGGAGUGGGCUGCACCAGAAGUAGAUAGCUUAACCUUCGGGAGGGCGUUUACCACGGUGUGGUUCAUGACUGGGGUGAAGUCGUAACAAGGUAGCCCUAGGGGAACCUGGGGCUGGAUCACCUCCUUACCUAA
rnacentral:rRNA from 1 species